rnacentral:rRNA from 1 species
GAUAAACGCUGGCGGCGUGCAUGAGACAUGCAAGUCGAACGAAGGAUCGGGCUUGCUCGAUCCUUAGUGGCGGACGGCUGAGUAACGCGUAGGUGACCUACCCCGAAGUGGGGAAUAACUGCCCGAAAGGGUGGCUAAUACCGCAUGUGGUCGCACGUUCAUUCGUGCGAGUAAAGCUGCAAGGCGCUUCGGGAGGGGCCUGCGUCCGAUUAGCUCGUUGGUAGGGUAAUGGCUUACCAAGGCGACGCUCGGUAGGUGGUCUGGGAGGACGAUCACCCAGACUGGGACUGAGACACGGCCCCGACUCCUACGGGAGGCAGCAGUAGGGAAUUUUGCUCAAUGAAGCAAGCCCUGAAGCAGCAACGCCGCGUGAGGGAUGAAGGCCUUCGGGUUGUAAACCUCUUUUGUCAGGGACGAUGAUGACGGUACCUGGCGAAUAAGCCACGGCUAACUACGUG